GAGAAGGGGCAACGCUGGAGGAGUUGUCAAAUUGUCACUCCUUGAGGAAAAGCGGGGGACUGAGGCUGAGUUCCAGGGCCAGAUUCCUAGGCUCUGAGACUCUGGCCUGCACCUGAAUAGGAGACGGCCCUGUGACCUUGUGCUGAUGGGUCUGACACAAGCUCAACACCUCACUUGGAAUAAUAACUGCCACUACUGAACAUCCACUCCAGGAGAGACAUUUCACCUGUUACAUUCUCACCACCAUCCCAUGCAGCAGUUAAGGAUUAUCUGCAUUAACUGAUGAGCAACUUGAGGUUUGGGAAACAUAAAGAAACCUGACCAGGGUUAUACAGCUAGUGUGUAGGGGACAGCAUGUGCUCUGGGAGCCUCUGUCUUCCCAAAUCCAGACUCCACGUUGCUUUUUGUGGGUUGAACCAGAUGGGGUCCCAAGGCCCCUAGCAGAUCUGCUGUCUGCAUAGUCCUCUUGGUUUUGCCCCUCAUGUAAUAUAUAGGUGUCUUAAGUCUGUUUGGGUGUCUAUCACAAAAUAUCAUAGACUGGGUAAUUUUGAAACAACAGAAAAGUAUUUAUCACAGUUCUGGAGGCUCUGGGGGGCUUCUGGGCACCCCACCACUCAUGACAACACUGUGUAGACAGUAAUAUGUGUUUUCAUUCCCCCAGCGGGUCACCAGGCAGCAGGUAAUGAGGGUCACCAGGUGCCAGGAUGGGUGCCACGAUUGUUCACCAAUCAGCCAACUUUACAAUCCAGCUUCAGAAACUUCCAAGUUGAACAUUUAGAAUCAGUUAAAAUAUUAGGAUCUAGCUCUGGGAAGUGAAGUUUAUAGGGUAAGAACUGCUUAGAAGUUUUGAUUCCAAUAAUUAGAAUUAUAAACUAAGCCCCCAUUUCUUACACUAUUUUAGCACCAUCAGGCUUGGCCAAGAAACCCGUUGGAGUUACAAUUUGCACUGCCUACAAAACAGACUCAGAAUGAUCUCAAAAUCAAGCCUCGAGACCCGAUUAGCUCAGCUGGAUGUGAUCUGGAAUGAAGAAGCAUCAGACACUGGGGGGCGCUUCUUGAACAGGCACUGGGCUAGACAGCCCAGACCUCGCGGAAACAAAGCGGGAAGGGGCCGCUCCUGGGGAGUUUUUCCCAGCUUCCCUGGGCCGGUGAGGGGUCCUGGCGUCCUGAACUGGAGAUGCUCCUUAGAGGGCACUGCUUCAGCCACCCCUGCCUUAGCAUACAUACGGGUCCCACAGGGGUCCUUCGACACCAGCUCAUCGUCUGGGUUCCACCAUCCACCCACGCACUCAUUUGGCAGCUAUCAACGGAGUAUUCACAGUACGCUGCUCACAGUUCUAACCGCGGAGGAUAGAGUUGAGGCCCACACGACAGCCCCUGCUCUCACAGAACUGAUGUCUCUAGAAGAGUCUUCCCUCAGUGAGAACGUUCUGAUUUCUAGAACAUUCUUUCUUCUGAUGAGUGAACAGCCUCACCGGAACUUCCCCAUCCUCCUGGCUUGGUUCCUGAAGUGGCCCAAGGCUGCCUUCUCCCUCCCGUGGGUGAACAGGGUCACUGCUUCCUCUCUUGUCCAGGCCCCCUGGCCUGACCCUGAGUCCCGGGCGUAACGGCGUUGUUGAACCACCACAACCCCAGGCGGCGCCUUCCUCUUGGCCCAGGGGCUCUCUUGGGGACAGUGUGCAGUACUCCCCAAGGGGGCUUUGCUGUGCAAAAGCAGCCCCUGCCGAUGCUGCGGCUCCCGUGGAUGGAGCACUGCCGUGGGAACAGAGUUGGAACUCAUCCAAAAGAAUAAAAGACAACUGUGUUGGAAGAUUGCCAAGGUUUGUAGCUGUGCCACCGCAGACUUCAGAGAUGAACACUGCCUUGGAGACGAGGAGGAUUCAAGUUGCAGAAGCAUUUAGGGCUCCCUGGGGGGAUGAGGCAGCUAGCGUGGCUUCUGUCACCAGUUUGAAGGUGCUUGUCAAUGGGGUCCCAUCCCGUGUGUCCAUUCAGCACCCUCUGGAGCACUGACCUAUCUGCAGUUUGACCUGUGUUUCUCCACUUCUUGGCAUCAAGGUGCUGCUGGGGUUACCAUGUCUCUGCCUUGUUGUUUAGCAGCAGUAGAAUCGACAGUUUCAAAAGCAUCUUGGAGUUCCCUCCGCUUUCUUCCUUUGAAACACACAAUGCUUUGAACACUCUGUGACCCGGCCAGCUGCAUGUUUUCCCUUGCAGGCUUGCACCCAAGCUGGGCUUUGAACAUUCGCAGGCACUGAUAAAGUUGUUUAGGUUGUUGCCUCAAACACUGAAAUAUCACACAUGUUGCUAAACAUGGAGAAAGUGGCCUCAGCCCUGAGCUAAAUGCCUUAAACCUUCAUAUAAACUCCAUGACACUCGCUGGGAACACAUCUGGGUAGAACAUCUCCUAUCUUGCUGACUGUUUAAAGGAUGAUGAAGCCCUGUGUAUGUAAAUUCUCCUAAUAAAUGCUUUAGAUGGAU
rnacentral:lncRNA from 1 species